rnacentral:rRNA from 1 species
AGAUUGAACGCUGGCGGCAUGCCUUACACAUGCAAGUCGAACGGCAGCACGGGAGCAAUCCUGGUGGCGAGUGGCGAACGGGUGAGUAAUAUAUCGGAACGUGCCCAGUCGUGGGGGAUAACGCAGCGAAAGCUGUGCUAAUACCGCAUACGAUCUAUGGAUGAAAGCGGGGGAUCGCAAGACCUCGCGCGAUUGGAGCGGCCGAUAUCAGAUUAGCUAGUUGGUGGGGUAAAAGCCUACCAAGGCGACGAUCUGUAGCUGGUCUGAGAGGACGACCAGCCACACUGGAACUGAGACACGGUCCAGACUCCUACGGGAGGCAGCAGUGGGGAAUUUUGGACAAUGGGCGCAAGCCUGAUCCAGCAAUGCCGCGUGCAGGAUGAAGGCCUUACGGGUUGUAAACUGUCUUUUGUACGGAACGAACGGUUCUCUACUAAUACGAGGGUACUAAGUGUAACGGUAACCGUAAG